rnacentral:rRNA from 1 species
GCCUAGAGAUGAGCUCGCGUCUGAUUAGCUAGUUGGUGGGGUAAAAGCCUACCAAGGCGACGAUCAGUAGCUGGUCUGAGAGGAUGAUCAGCCACACUGGGACUGAGACACGGCCCAGACUCCUACGGGAGGCAGCAGUGGGGAAUUUUCCGCAAUGGGCGAAAGCCUGACGGAGCAACGCCGCGUGAGGGAGGAAGGCUUUUGGGUUGUAAACCUCUUUUAUCAAGGAAGAUAAUGACGGUACUUGAUGAAUCAGCAUCGGCUAACUCCGUGCCAGCAGCCGCGGUAAUACGGAGGAUGCAAGCGUUAUCCGGAAUAAUUGGGCGUAAAGCGUUCGUAGGUGGUUUUGUAAGUCUGCUGUUAAAGCGUGUAGCUCAACUACAUAUAGGCAGUGGAAACUACAAGACUUGAGUGCGUUCGGGGUAGAGGGAAUUCCUGGUGUAGCGGUGAAAUGCGUAGAGAUCAGGAAGAACACCGGUGGCGAAGGCGCUCUACUAGGCCGCAACUGACACUGAGGGACGAAAG